UACGGAGGGGGCUAGCGUUGUUCGGAAUUACUGGGCGUAAAGCGCACGUAGGCGGACUUGAAAGUCAGAGGUGAAAUCCCAGGGCUCAACCUUGGAACUGCCUUUGAAACUUCUGGUCUUGAGGUCGAGAGAGGUGAGUGGAAUUCCGAGUGUAGAGGUGAAAUUCGUAGAUAUUCGGAGGAACACCAGUGGCGAAGGCGGCUCACUGGCACGAUACUGCCGCUGAGGUGCGAAAGCGUGAGGAGCAAAUAGG
rnacentral:rRNA from 1 species